CAGUCGAGCGGUAAGGCCCUUCGGGGUACACGAGCGGCGAACGGGUGAGUAACACGUGAGUAAUCUGCCCUUCACAUCGGGAUAACCAUUGGAAACGAUGGCUAAUACCGAAUAUGACAACGGAUCGCAUGAUCUGUUGUGGAAAGUUCCGGCGGUGAAGGAUGAACUCGCGGCCUAUCAGCUUGUUGGUGGGGUAAUGGCCUACCAAGGCGACGACGGGUAGCCGGCCUGAGAGGGUGACCGGCCACACUGGGACUGAGACACGGCCCAGACUCCUACGGGAGGCAGCAGUGGGGAAUAUUGGACAAUGGGCGAAAGCCUGAUCCAGCAACGCCGCGUGAGGGAUGACGGCCUUCGGGUUGUAAACCUCUUUCAGCGGGGACGAAGCGAAAGUGACGGUACCCGCAGAAGAAGCACCGGCCAACUACGUGCCAGCAGCCGCGGUAAUACGUAGGGUGCAAGCGUUGUCCGGAAUUAUUGGGCGUAAAGGGCUCGUAGGCGGUUUGUCACGUCGGGAGUGAAAACUCAGGGCUCAACCCUGAGCGUGCUUUCGAUACGGGCAGACUAGAGGUAUGCAGGGGAGAACGGAAUUCCUGGUGUAGCGGUGGAAUGCGCAGAUAUCAGGAGGAACACCGGUGGCGAAGGCGGUUCUCUGGGCAUUACCUGACGCUGAGGAGCGAAAGCAUGGGGAGCGAACAGGAUUAGAUACCCUGGUAGAAUCACUAGUGAAUUC
rnacentral:rRNA from 1 species